ACAGGCAAUGAGCAGUGUGGGUGUGGUCCACAGUGUGCACCGCACACCACCACACACCAAGAGAGAUAGGGAGAGACAAAGUCCAAGCAGGAAAAACCCAACAAGAGAAAACACACACAGAAAAACCAAUCA